GACGAACGCUGGCGGCGUGCUUAACACAUGCAAGUCGAACGGUGACGAGGAGCUUGCUCCUCUGAUCAGUGGCGAACGGGUGAGUAACACGUGAGCAACCUGCCCCAGACUCUGGGAUAACAGUUGGAAACAGCUGCUAAUACCGGAUACGAGACGGAGAGGCAUCUCUACCGUCUGGAAAGUUUUUCGGUCUGGGAUGGACUCGCGGCCUAUCAGCUAGUUGGUGAGGUAAUGGCUCACCAAGGCGACGACGGGUAGCCGGCCCGAGAGGGCGACCGGCCACACUGGGACUGAGACACGGCCCAGACUCCUACGGGAGGCAGCAGUGGGGAAUAUUGCACAAUGGGCGAAAGCCUGAUGCAGCGACGCCGCGUGAGGGAUGACGGCCUUCGGGUUGUAAACCUCUUUCAGCAGGGAAGAAGCGAAAGUGACGGUACCUGCAGAAGAAGCACCGGCUAACUACGUG
rnacentral:rRNA from 1 species